rnacentral:lncRNA from 1 species
CCUCAUCCUCCUCCUAAUCCUCCGCCACCGCCACCGCUGCUGCUGCUGCUUCUUUUUUCACUGAGCUACAUGUAGAACACAUGAGUUGAACCAUGUGCUUCCCAACAUGUGUUCUAUCCACCUUGCCUCACGCCCAAACUCACAGCGCAACCAUGGACAAAAGUCAUGAGCCAAAAUCCACCGCUCCUCCUGCUUUCAUUUGAGAAGUCCUGAAGAACCUUGCUCUCAGUGCCGCUUAGAAAGUCGUCUCUGCGCGGAUCCCUAGGUGUAGCUGUGUGGAACUCAGGCCGCUGCAGGUCAUAUUCUUUUUGUAUGGGGGAGUGAAUGCAAGAAGUUUCCCGAGAGUGCAGUGAAAUGUGUUAGAAGCUUAAAAGAAAGGGGAACCUAAGACCCCCGCACGGUCGGUCCUCAAACGCCAGGUCAAGUGCACAGGAGGCUUCAGAUGUAGAGAGGAAGAUGCUGCAUCUUCUUGCUGUUCACCUUCUAUUGCUUUCUAUAAUCUUGCCUUUCCCACUUCCAAACUGUCCCUUGUGAAGCAAAAUGAGACAGAGAGAGAUGUCUGUCUGGCAGAGGAUAGACAACCUGUAGUCAAACACUAUGUUUAGUCUCUUGGUCCUCAAGUUUGAUGCAAGCCUUUUAACUACACUAAAAGACAGGUUAAAAUGU